UUUUUAUUUUUCGGUCAGCUGAGCAGGGAAGCACUGUGGUUUAGCUGCACCCUGCAAUAGUCCCAGAGAUUCCAGCUUCAGCCAGCCGGAGCAGGACUACCCAUCAUGUGGAACCCAAACCAAGGAAUGUGCUGUGGGCAGCCCCCAUAUGCACCACAGCCAUGUGUUCAGCAGCCAAUGAUGCCCCCAUAUAAUCAGGUGCCAUGUGUGGGCCCAGGCUAUGUUGUCACACCAGGGAGCUAUCCCCAAGGUAUCAACCCUUACCCUCAAGGAUAUGUGCAUCAAUGCAGCUGUGAAAGCCGUGGGUGCAUUAAAUGUUGCGAAUCAUGCAGACAUGGCCACUGUGGACAUCAUCAUCAUCGCCACCACCACCACCAUCACCACGGACUGCUUGGGUUCCUUGAACAUCACCUCCAUAAAUGACCUGAAAACCACUUACUCCAAAGAUGGAACAAAUCCAUUGAGUCUGACUGAUCAUCAUCAUGGAAAUUGUUCCACAACCUGUUUUUCUGCCUCCAUUGUACACAAUGCUUCUGCCUCAACCAACAGCAAAAAUAGCUAUGUCCUCUUGUAUGUCUUAUUUCUGUGAUCCAUGGUUUUAAAGAUAAUAAAGUACAGUAUGAAUAUAAAA